rnacentral:lncRNA from 1 species
CUUCCUCUUUGUAUCAAGAACUCAAGUAACUGAUAGGAGUAUACCUAAACUUCACCCAAGAGAGUCCUGCUGAAGUUACUAGGUAGCAGAACAAUCACCAGUAUGCCUUUUAUUGUUGAGACUGUUACUGGUGGGAGGAGCUGUAAUGGAGAAUGAGUGGCAGCUCAUGGCAUGUCCCUGAAGGGGCUACUCAACUAGCGAGGUAUAAGCCUGAGAAGUGGUCCUGCCCACCCAGCAUUGUGAAUCAU